CUCUGCUGAAGAAUUAGCUCCACCUCUCACAGCACUUCCCCUCCCUUGCUUUGGUCCGGACAUUUUACUCAGGCCAAAUGGGUCGCCAGAGGCAGAAUUGUGCAUAUUGUUCGAUUGCAGUGAUUUUGCAGUCUUCAAACUACCCUUGGAGCUACGGUCCUUUCCACCCUUAAUUCUCCGUUCCACAGGGUUAUAGUUCUCAUUCAUGAUGCCACCAUUUACAGAAUCACAGUAUCGUUUCAACCAUUGUAAGAACUCUAAGUUGUCCAAAGGUCGGCUUUUAACAAGCUUGUUAACUUCGAUAUGCUUUUCAAUUUUCAAUUUGUUGAAUACGUCCUGCAGAACCUUGUAAUUUUGGAUCAUAUCAUAUUCUGUUUUUGCAUCAAAAUUCACCUUGUGCAUCGGAACAACUCCUGGAUAAGUCAUAUCCAUCAUCUGACACUGCACAGCACCAGAUGCAGCCUCUUCAAUGCGAGUGAGAUUGAGCUGAAGCCUAUUGUUGAUCCACGUCAAUAUCUCAUUCCU
rnacentral:misc_RNA from 1 species